AAGGUUCCUCCGCUCGCUCGAGUCGUUUUGUUUGGGAAUUCAACGCAAAAGGGGUGGUAACUUUCAUCCAAGACUAAGUAUUGGCCAGAGACCGAUAGCAUACAAGUACCCUGAUGGAAAGAUGAAAAGCACUUCGAAAGGAGAGUUAAACGAGCUGUGAUUUUUUGGGAGGCCAAGUGGGAUUCCGUCAAGCAUUUGCUUAUGUGUUUCUGCUCGUCUGAGGGGGGUUAUGCUCUGCUAAGGGCGCUAAAGUUUAGGUUCGGGGGGGCAGGUUUUAGGCAUUAUAGGGCAUUACGUAGUUGCUGACUCAACUUCUAUCAACCGCUGAGUGGAGUCGACCAUUGGCAUAGAUGACAAUUUUGGCAUGUUGACACGACGCGUCUUGAAUCACAGACCAGACAGUAAAACCAGUCGUUCGUAGUGUAAGUGUUCGAUGUAUCCGACCGCGACGCGAAAGCAAAAACUGUGAAUGUCAGUGCUUCAGCGCCCGACCUCCCACAUUCGAACUUGCCAUAUUGUUUAGACCACGAGAGAGGGGUGACCUAUACCCGGAGUUAGGUGACCUACGCUGUAAAUCCUGGCGAACGCUCGCAAACAUCCUGACAUGCUCCUUCGGUCCUUCUAAACUUGGCAUUGGAUCCUAAAAAACUAACCGAAGGCGAUCAAAAAAACUGGAUCCACACG
rnacentral:rRNA from 1 species